GGGCGUUUAACUCAGUGGUAGAGUGCUACCUUCACACGGUAGAAGUCGCUGGUCCGAUCCCAGCAACGCCCACCA
rnacentral:tRNA from 1 species